GUCGGGACUGGGGUCCGGUGCCGAGUGCCCCUCGCCUGGGGAAACGGGGCGCAGCC
rnacentral:miRNA from 1 species